UACGGGGGGGGUAAGCGUUGUUCGGAAUUACUGGGCGUAAAGGGCUCGUAGGCGGCCAACUAAGUCAGACGUGAAAUCCCUCAGCUUAACUGGGGAACUGCGUCUGAUACUGGAUGGCUUGGAUUCGGGAGAGGAAUGCGGAAUUCCAGGUGUAGCGGUGAAAUGCGUAGAUAUCGAGAGGAACACCGGUGGCGAAGGCGGCCAACUGGACGAAUACUGACGCUGAGACUCGAAAGCGUGGGGAGCAAACAGG
rnacentral:rRNA from 1 species